rnacentral:rRNA from 1 species
GACGAACGCUGGCGGCGUGCUUAACACAUGCAAGUCGAACGGAAAGGCCCUGCUUUUGUGGUGUGCUCGAGUGGCGAACGGGUGAGUAACACGUGAGUAACCUGCCCUUGACUUUGGGAUAACUUCAGGAAACUGGGGCUAAUACCGGAUAGGAGCUCCUGCUGCAUAGUGGGGGUUGGAAAGUUUCGGCGGUUGGGGAGGGACUCGCGGCUUAUCAGAUUGUUGGUGGGGUAGUGGCUUACCAAGGCUUUGACGGGUAGCCGGCCUGAGAGGGUGACCGGCCACAUUGGGACUGAGAUAGGGCCCAGACUCAUACGGGAGGCAGCAGUGGGGAAUAGUGGACAAUGGGCGGAAGCCUGAUGCAGCAACGCCGCGUGCGGGAUGACGGCCUUCGGGUUGUAAACCGCUUUCGCCUGUGACGAAGCGUGAGUGACGGUAAUGGGUAAAGAAGCACCGGCUAACUACGUGCCAGCCGCCGCAGUAA